rnacentral:rRNA from 1 species
AUGGUUGCUGAUGAGGGCCACUGCAUAGUGUACGCCUCUGACGGAGAAUGGUUCGAGGUCCCUUUAGUGUACGUUGGGACGACAGUCUUCACCGAGCUUCUCAGGAUGUCCGAGGAGGAGCUUGGUCUCGCCAGCAGCAGCGAUGGAGGCAGGAUCAUGCUGCCAUGCGAUGCCAUGGUUAUGGAGUAUGUCUUGUGCCUGGUAAUAGUACGAAACUAUUUGACAUUUUACAAUUAG